AUGAUGAUUUAGAAAAUUUAUGGUUAGAUAUACUGAAUAACCUUGAUGAACUUAUUCUAGGGCGGUCUGAUUUU
rnacentral:ncRNA from 15 species